CAGGUCCGCUACCUGGUGAAACUCGACUUCCGGGACAAGUGCUCCGUAGUUUCUGCGCUCCAGGUUCUCCACCCGGUGAAAUUCGACCUCCAGAACAAACGCUCCGUGGUUUCUGCGCUCCAGGUCCUUCACCUGAUGACUUUCGUCCUCUAGGACCAGCGCUCCGAAGUUCCUCAUAGUUGCUGAGCUGCCGAUGAUUUACCUAAUGAAUAGCGACUUCCAGGGCCUCUACCUGGUGAAUUUCAACCUUCAGGACGAGUGCUCCGUAGUUCCUGCUCAGUGCAGUGAGCAGUGAGGGCGUUUGAAAAUUCAUCAGAAUGUUACGGGGUGGACGAUUGUAAUCAAGACGAGCGGCUAUCGCAGAGAGGAACUUGUACUGAGGAGUUAAAUGUUUGAGUACAUAAUUGAUGUAUU